rnacentral:misc_RNA from 1 species
AACCUAGCACACCUGCGGUGUGUACCUGCGGAAGGAUCAUUAUCGAGUUACCACUCUAUAACCCUUUGUGAACAUACCUACAUGUUGCUUCGGCGGUCGGCCCCCCGGGCCCCCGGCCCCGCUCACGCGGGGCGUCCGCCGGAGGAUAACCAAACUCUGAUUUAACGACGUUUCUUCUGAGUGGCACAAGCAAAUAAUCAAAACUUUUAGCAAUGGAUCU